UACGGAGGGGGCUAGCGUUGUUCGGAAUUACUGGGCGUAAAGCGGGUGUAGGCGGAUUGCUAAGUCGGGGGUGAAAGCCCAGGGCUCAACCCUGGAAUUGCCUUCGAUACUGGCAGUCUCGAGUGCAGGAGAGGUGAGCGGAAUUCCGAGUGUAGAGGUGAAAUUCGUAGAUAUUCGGAGGAACACCAGAGGCGAAGGCGGCUCACUGGACUGUUACUGACGCUGAGAACUGAAAGCGUGGGGAGCAAACAGG
rnacentral:rRNA from 1 species